UCUUCGGAUUGAAGCCUUGGUGACUGAGCGGCGGACGGGUGAGUAACGCGUGGGUAACCUGCCUCAUACAGGGGGAUAACAGUUGGAAACGGCUGCUAAUACCGCAUAAGCGCACAGUACCGCAUGGUACGGUGUGAAAAACUCCGGUGGUAUGAGAUGGACCCGCGUCUGAUUAGGUAGUUGGUGGGGUAACGGCCUACCAAGCCGACGAUCAGUAGCCGACCUGAGAGGGUGACCGGCCACAUUGGGACUGAGACACGGCCCAAACUCCUACGGGAGGCAGCAGUGGGGAAUAUUGCACAAUGGGGGAAACCCUGAUGCAGCGACGCCGCGUGAGCGAUGAAGUAUUUCGGUAUGUAAAGCUCUAUCAGCAGGGAAGAAAAUGACGGUACCUGACUAAGAAGCCCCGGCUAACUACGUGCCAGCAGCCGCGGUAAUACGUAGGGGGCAAGCGUUAUCCGGAUUUACUGGGUGUAAAGGGAGCGUAGACGGCAUGGCAAGCCAGAUGUGAAAGCCCGGGGCUCAACCCCGGGACUGCAUUUGGAACUGUCAGGCUAGAGUGUCGGAGAGGAAAGCGGAAUUCCUAGUGUGGCGGUGAAAUGCGUAGAUAUUAG
rnacentral:rRNA from 1 species